rnacentral:tRNA from 1 species
CGUAGAGUCGGCGCUGUUGUUCGUCCAGCAGACUGUAAAUCUGCUGGCUUACGCCUUCGCUGGUUCGAAUCCAGCUCCUACCACCA